UGGUAGAUGCACCUUGAUCUUCAAUUCCCCUAGUUGGCUAAAACUCACUGGGGGUUUUCUUU
rnacentral:sRNA from 1 species